rnacentral:tRNA from 1 species
CAGCAGGUAGCCUAGUGGUUAGAGCGUUGGACUAGUAACCGAAAGAUUGCUGGAUCGAAUCCCCCAGCUGA